rnacentral:rRNA from 1 species
CAGUAGCCACGGGAAUACGAAGGGGGCUAGCGUUGCUCGGAAUGACUGGGCGUAAAGCGUGCGUAGGCGGCUUUUUAAGUCGGAUGUGAAAUCCCUGAGCUUAACUCAGGAAUUGCAUUCGAUACUGGGAAGCUAGAGUAUGGGAGAGGAUGGUAGAAUUCCAGGUGUAGCGGUGAAAUGCGUAGAGAUCUGGAGGAAUACCGAUGGCGAAGGCAGCCAUCUGGCCUAAUACUGACGCUGAGGUACGAAAGCAUGGGGAGCAAACAGGAUUAGAUACCCGAGUAGUCCCUGUCUCUUAUAA